GCAUGCUUUGGCAGUGCAUAUAUAAAAAUUGGAAUGAUACAGAGAAGAUAAGCAUGGCCCCUGUGCAAGGAUUACAUGCAAAUUCAUGAAGUGUUCCAUAUUUUU